CGGGGGGGCGAAGCGUUGUUCGGAAUUACUGGGCGUAAAGGGCGCGUAGGCGGCCUGCUAAGUCGGACGUGAAAUCCCUCGGCUCAACCGGGGAACUGCGUCCGAUACUGGUGGGCUCGAAUCCGGGAGAGGGAUGUGGAAUUCCAGGUGUAGCGGUGAAAUGCGUAGAUAUCUGGAGGAACACCGGUGGCGAAGGCGGCAUCCUGGACCGGUAUUGACGCUGAUGCGCGAAAGCCAGGGGAGCAAACGGGAUUAGAUACCCCGGUAGUCCUGGCCCUAAACGAUGAGUGCUUGGUGUGGCGGGUAUCGAUCCCUGCCGUGCCGAAGCUAACGCAUUAAGCACUCCGCCUGGGGAGUACGGUCGCAAGGCUG
rnacentral:rRNA from 1 species